UUACUUGGGAAGUUUAGAUAUUUGUUUCCUGGGGUUCCUGGGGGAAUCAAGACCAUUGUUACCUGGGGGCAACAAUGAUCUUAAGAUCUUGUUAAAGGUAAGUCUUAAAGGUCAGAGUGCACUGGAACCUGAGGGAUCAAGACCCUGGGCAUCUGAGAGAUUGUAACCUAGGGGAUCAAGGACCCUGUUACCUGGGAGAUCAACAUCACUCUUACCUGGGGAAUUUUAAAGCACUCUUACUUGUGUGUGGGGGGUGGAGAUGAAGACCACUCCUAACUGGCUGAUCUGAGAACAUUGUUACCUGGGACAUCUGCACAUUGUUACAUGGGUGAUAUCAGAACAGUGUAACCCAGGGGAUCAAGCUCAUUGUUUUCUGGUGGCAUUUGAGAGCAUUGUUACCUGACAGGUCUGACGGGAUUGUAACCUGAUGGAUCCAAAUCUUGGUUGAAUGGGACAUAUGAGAACAUUGUUACCUCAGGGAUCCAGACUGCUGUAACCUGGAAAAUCAAAACAGUUGUUACUUGGGGAGCAAAGUAAUUGCUUCCUGAAGUAUCAUUGUUACUCGGGGCUCAAGACCAUUUUUUUUUUUUUUGUGGCAUCUAAGAGCAUUGAUACCCCAAUGAGCUGAGAACAUUGUAACAUAGAAAUCCAGAACAUUGUUACCUGGGGAUGAGAAUCAUUCUUGUCAGGGGUAUCUAAGAGUGUCGUUGCCUGGAAGAUCUAAGAGGAUUGUCACCUGAGGCAUUGAGGUCAUUGUUACCCGGAACAUCUGAGAGCAAUGGAAUCUAGGAGAUAAGGCCAUCUGUUUUCCUUGGGGAAUAUGAGAACAUCAACACUUGGGGAAGCUGAGAACAUUAUAACCUGAGAAGAAAAUUCCAAAGCUGAGACAUAUAAAGACCAAGAUGCAACCCCAGAAGAGUCUAGACUUUCUUGACACUGAAAAGCUAUCUCCCGUUACAACAGGAUUCUCAGUGAAAAAUCAAGCUCUGUGCAUGAGUUUAAUCAGUGCUGCGAUCUCCACGGAGGAAGAAAAAAACGAAAGUGUCGGCAGAUGCUAGCUAAGGCUGUUGAUGCAGCUCAUGUGAGGGACUCUGCUCUCGAACACCGGGAUGAGGGGGAGGCUUCGACCUGGACAUAUGCAAAGUAUAUGAUAACCACCUUGUAGUCCAAAGACUAACACCCAGGUAUGUAUGGAAAGCCUUUUGAGCUGUUGGCUGUGGAGUUGUUGAGUCUCCGAGAGACUCUCAAAGCACUCUAGGCAGUUGCUGUUCCUCUUGGUUGCCUCCCAAAACUCGAACGGACGUCCCUAUUUCUGAAGACAACAUGAAUUUUGGACAUGGGAAUCAAAGGAUCAACCUGAAUACCUCUUUCCUGAGCCUUAGUUACCGGAAGAUGCUGUCCUGGUUAACAAGGGAGGAAAGUAAUCAAUAGCCCAACCCGGCUGUGAUGCCUACGAACCCCAACAAUGACCAGUGCAAUAGAGGAGAAUUUUCAUAAUUCUCUCCCUGUGGCCCUGAAGGAUGAAUCCACUUGAUCAUAAGGCAUUUUCUUGUCUUUCCUGACUGGCCAGUCCAUGAAUAAGGACGCUGCGUCUCUCUUCAGUGUUUCAUCACUGAACGGAACAGUGACUAUCUGCUUUCUACAUGUGCCUUUAUUGGGUUGUGCCUGGACAGCUGAGAGUUUUCAGUGAGAACUUGAUUGGAUUUUUCAAAUAUAUUUCCUAUAUCUAUAGACCAUGGGAUUUUCAUAAUUCUCUCCCUGUGGCCCUGAAGGAUGAAUCCACUUGAUCAUAAGGAGAUACGAUCUAUCUAAGCUCGGGAGGAAAGUGUGCCCUGUUGCUGAGGGUAGAAUAUCGCAUCCUGCCCGCUCGGACCACGUGGAUUACCGCAUUGUUUAAGUCAGCUGUUUCCAUAUUGGCUCUUGGCACGCAUGCGUUGUUUGUUAUGGGCUUUGGAGUACUGAGAUCUUCCCCUAGCCUUGCGGUGCUGCGACUCCCUAGGUCUCUCCAUAUUUGCUCCCCAUGAGUUUAUGUUUAUGUAAAUACCUCUUAGGGCUUCUGGAUUUAUAGGCCCUUUGAGUAGCAGCAGCAGAAGCGUGUCUCCUGUGACAGUUUGGACAUAAAGCCUCUUUUGUGACCGGCGACCUGUUUCUUUUGAGCUCCUGUUUGCACGGAGCAUCCUUUCCGCCCUCUGGCUUUGUGCACAAACAUGCACUUACACGGAAAUUAGUUACUUUAAAGGAUGCAUAACUGGGUAUUUUAUUAAAGUAUCCACUUAACUAU